AACACGGAGAGGAAAACACAGUAUGCUGAACUGUCCCCUCCUUCAGUCACUGCAGAGGAACAAUGGUGAGAAUAAGAAGAUUCCCAUGGAAGAUUCCCACAGCGGCUGAGAAACCACAAGCCAAAGUUCACGCCUAAUUCCCGAGGCAACCUUGAGUGUGCUGCUCAUAGGGACCAACAGAGCCAUCCAUCUCCAGACAGACAGGCUGGCGGAAGACCCCUCUGACCAGAACAUGUGACCCCUAUAGCCCCACCUAUAUAUCACCCAUGGCCCAUCCAUCACGGCGUCCGUGGUGCCUCUGGGGUGGAGGGAGAGGGACCGAACGUUUUGCAUCGUUUCCUGUGGGAGUUAUGAAGUGAGGAGCGAUGCGUGACAUAAAGACAUGCUGCAGUAGCCCCUUCCACUCUGUCGUGAUUUAAUAUGUUGAUAGUGAUACUGCUACUUCAUUUUCUGAACUUAAAUGUCUGAAAAAAAGGGGUUCACACAGGCUGAUGUGAUGAUAUGAGACCCCCUAAUCCUAAUCCUCUCAUAACAAUAACCAACUAGGAGGAAACCUUGAGAAGCAACACAGAAAAGGGAUGCCUUCACCCAGGGACGACUAGGGAACCAUAGCUGCCGAAUGGACAGACAUAUCGGUGUCGGAAUUGUAAUACCACGUUUAACGUUUUGUAAAGUUCCACAUGGUCAAGUUAUUCACCGGGCAAAGUUCGGGCAUCACCUUAAAUAUAAAUCAUUAACGUGAAUCAGUUGCAAAGAGUGAGCAGUGAAAGGCUGAAAGCUUUUUUGUAAAAGACGUGGAAUAUUCCACGCGGUAGGUUAAGAGCCAAUUGCCCAUGAAAGGCAUCCAGAAGUGCUCACACAGACACAAAACAAAAAAUAAAGGUGGCUGUGUACAUUCUCCUGACUGUGUGGGUAUUGAUCAUGCGGUCAUUUGUUCUAAACACCGAGGAGUGGUGGUAGGUUCAUCCGAGCGUGUUUGGAGGGUCAACAUUCCAGAGAUAAGGCACUUAAUGUAACCUUUAUUCGUACCGCGCAAGGUUCACAACACAGGAAGUUAUGUAAUAGCCUUUAGUUGCCCAGAGAUAUCUGUUGUACAUUGGACCUAUAGUAUUGAGAUGCAGACUAGGCACGCUAUGCAUUGCAUAACUAAAAAGGGAAACACUAUAAAAACUUCAAAGCUAAUCCAAAUCAUUAAAGAUACGAGUAAUCACAGCAAACCGAUUUCGCAUUACACUUGCAUUGUAAACCUUGAAAAAAUACACAUAAACAUUUUGAUAUAUAUCAUAUUCAUUCAAAUUUCAUAGAACAUUUUAUUCUUCAAUGACACUCAUCUCCUACAUAUCCCUCCUUGGUAUGUCAUGCAUAAUAGAUACCAUGGGAGAUUUACCUGUGCUAACCCCGCAUAUUAAAUUAUUCAGUUAACCAGACGUUGCAACGAGCCAGGGACAAAUGUGUCCCUUUCAUGCACCGGCGCACAAUGUAUCACCAGUCACCCAUGGCGCUCAAACCGUCCCGGGUACCAACCUGCACUCCAGGAGCACCAAGAAAAAACACAAUGUGCCCGACACAGACUGCGCCACCUGUGCUAAUUCGUUAGCUUAGCAUGUUAGCCGCAGAGUGAAA